GUUAUCUUUAAGGAUAGUUUCAUAGCAGGAGGCUGGACUAUCUGGAUAACGGUUUGAUUUAUUUGUUUAGUAUUGAUAUUAUUGUUUAGUUACUAGUACUAAGGGUCUUAGGCCAUAUAGGCCGGACUACUGGUACUAUAGUUAGUCUUGUGGAGUCGAGUGUCUAGUUAGGAUCUGGAACUUUAUCUUUAGGUUAGGUUCUAGAUUGAGUUUGUGUUGUAGCCGACAGUAUGAGCGUAACCCGUCC
rnacentral:lncRNA from 1 species